rnacentral:rRNA from 1 species
AACAGGAUUAGAUACCCUGGUAGUCCACGCCCUAAACGAUGUCAACUGGUUGUUGGGAGGGUUUCUUCUCAGUAACGUAGCUAACGCGUGAAGUUGACCGCCUGGGGAGUACGGCCGCAAGGUUGAAACUCAAAGGAAUUGACGGGGACCCGCACAAGCGGUGGAUGAUGUGGUUUAAUUCGAUGCAACGCGAAAAACCUUACCUACCCUUGACAUGCCAGGAAUCUUGCAGAGAUGUGAGAGUGCUCGAAAGAGAACCUGGACACAGGUGCUGCAUGGCCGUCGUCAGCUCGUGUCGUGAGAUGUUGGGUUAAGUCCCGCAACGAGCGCAACCCUUGUCAUUAGUUGCUACGAAAGGGCACUCUAAUGAGACUGCCGGUGACAAACCGGAGGAAGGUGGGGAUGACGUCAGGUCAUCAUGGCCCUUAUGGGUAGGGCUACACACGUCAUACAAUGGCCGGGACAGAGGGCUGCCAACCCGCGAGGGGGAGCUAAUCCCAGAAACCCGGUCGUAGUCCGGAUCGCAGUCUGCAACUCGACUGCGUGAAGUCGGAAUCGCUAGUAAUCGCGGAUCAGCUUGCCGCGGUGAAUACGUUCCCGGGUCUUGUACACACCGCCCGUCACACCAUGGGAGCGGGUUCUGCCAGAAGUAGUUAGCCUAACCGCAAGGAGGGCGAUUACCACGGCAGGGUCCGUGACUGGGGUGAAGUCGUAACAAGGUAACC